rnacentral:tRNA from 1 species
GGCAGGGUAGCUCAGUUGGUUAGAGCAUACGGUUCAUACCCGUAGUGUCGAGAGUUCAAAUCUCCCCCCUGCUACCA